AGAGUAAUAGUUUAGCGGGAACAUGUGUACUUAGCAUACACAAGGUCCUGGGUUCAAUCCCCAGUACCUCCA
rnacentral:tRNA from 1 species